GACAAGAAAUUAACUCUCGUAAAUCAUUUAUAAAAGAUAGUCACUAAUUAAAUCCUAAACCUUUAGAACCUAUAUAUCCUUAAUCUUCUUAAACCGGAUAUCAGAGAAUGUUAAAUAAAGUGUAGCCUUGUUGGUUGUUAAGACAUGAGAUCUUCUGGGCUCUUCUCUUUUGGGUGGUAAAGUGCUACAAUAGUUGAACUAGCAACAUCGGAUGGUUAGAAUUUUAUUUUUAAAAAUAUUUAUAGUAGUCUCUAGUCAAUAGAGAAACAUGAAACUCGCACAGGACGGAUACCCAAUAAUAAAAUCAACUAUUACUUUUACUAGUUUCGUGUCCGCGCUACGCGCGGAUUACAUCUUUACGAUUAAAAUUUUAUUUUAAUUACUUUGUGGUAUGUUUGAAUUUGUUUUAGAAAUAUAUAUUUUAGUAUUUUUAUUUUGUGAUUAAUUUAACUAUAUAUAUUACAGAAAUUAAUUAAUUUGGAAUAGUUUGUUGCAUAAAUUUUAGUAAACUUUUAUGUAGGCCAUCUUUUUAAUUUUUGAAUUCUUCUUAUGAAAAUGGUUAUGAAUAAUGUAUUCAAAAUAUUUUCUUCAAUAUUUAUUUAGUACUUUAAAUAAAAGCAAAUAUAUAAUAUGAUGAUAAAACAAAAAAUUAAAAGGAUACUUGAGAUAAAAAAAUAUGAAUGAAAAAAACACAGAGAAUGGUAAGUAACAAACAAAGAGGCAUAAUCACAAAGAAUCAUUUAUCACACACCUAUGAUAAAAUCAAUUAUGCGAGGCUGUGAGAUAUAUCGUUUGGCUAGACUACAUAUAAUAAAAAUAUAGACUUUAUCUGUACGCAAUAAUCUCAAUUGUUUUGGUAUCGAAAAAGGGUCAAAAGAUUUUCGAAGAGGCUUAAUGGAUUCAACCUCAUCUUUUGUUGUUUCUUCCCAAUGCCUCAAAUAAUAUUUUAACUGUUUUAUUCUUUCAUGGAUCAAACAAAACCAAACCAAGAGGUAGAUAUGUUUUUUUUUUUUAAUUCAGCAACAUUAUUAUCUUUUAUAUGAGUUAGCCUUAACCGAAAUCGACAUUGCAUUAUUUAUCAAAAGGUUUUGUUGGUGUAGAUAGGUUAAAUAAUUUUGCAAAUUUGAAGUACAUGUACGAAAAAAGUAAAUAUAAUGUAGUCUUUUAUUUUUUAUAUAAAAAUAGCUUUUUAUUUUUGUUACAAAUUCAAAAUUAUGCACCUAUUAAAUAACGGUUAUGGUAUUCACCAAAAUGUGUGUAAAUAUAUCUUUAGAAAAAUUCUGAAUGCUUUUAUAGGCCAAGCAGUGUAACAAAUCAAAUUAUUUUAAUUUUAUAUUUUUAUCAAAAAAAAGAGAAAAUUUAUUGUUGCAAAAUCUUUUGCUAAUAAGCGAUGUUUGUCGGUGCUCCGUAACAAAGUUAUCAAUAUUAUUAUUCUUAACUUACAAUAAAAUAAGAUUUCCAAUGUAGUACAUCACUUCUUUUCUACUUUUUUAAUAUUUUUGGGUGUAUCAUACAAUAGCUUUGGAGUUUGGUGGACCAUAUUACAAAUUAUUUUAUCGUGUUUUUUCCAGCCAAAAUGAUUUCAACUUUACGCAACCCUUUGACCAAAAUGAUUUAUUUAUAAUAAGUUGAAAGAAUCUCUCUGAUUCCUUCGCCUUGAAGAAAUCUGGUAGCAACCCAUUACCUACCGUGAAAAAAUAUAGCAAAAACAAUCUCAAAGAUCAACUCUUUUUUUUUAUUCCGAAUCAAGAAAUGCUCCACCAUUGAUUCAAGAUGCAAUCCAAGAUCGUUGGCGGCGGCUUACCUCCGGCGUUUUCUCUCUUCCCAAGCUUAAACAAAACCUUCACAUUCCACCAAAUCCUCGUCCUCAUCAUCACCUUCCUAGCCUAUGAUUCGUUCCACGCCUCUCGCAAACCUCCGAGCAUCGUCAAGAGCGUCCUCGGACCUUCCGUCAACGAACAAUCAAACUCUCCGAUCGACAACGGAUGGGCUCCGUUCAACGGAACCGAAGGAACGCAGAGACUCGGUGAGCUCGAUCUAGCGUUCCUAUCUUCCUACGCUCUCGGUAUGUAUUUCGCAGGGCAUUUAGGAGAUAGGAUUGAUCUGAGGCUGUUUCUCGUGUUUGGGAUGAUGGGAAGUGGGAUCCUCACCGUUGUCUUCGGGUUAGGGUAUUGGAUGAACGUGCAUCUUCUCGGGUUUUACAUGACUGUUCAUAUCGUUUGUGGGUUGUUUCAAUCUAUCGGGUGGCCUUGUGUUGUCUCUGUGGUUGGGAACUGGUGUGGGAAGGAGAAGCGUGGGUUGAUUAUGGGUGUUUGGAACUCUCAUACAUCUGUUGGGAACAUUGUUGGUUCCGUUGUUGCUUCUUCCGUGCUUGAUUCCGGAUGGGGUUGGUCUUUUGCUUUGCCUGGUGGGUUGGUGAUUGUGUCUGGAUUGGUUGUGAGGAUUAUAUCUGACUUGAACCUAGCCACUAUUAUAUAGCGAGGAUGGGGAGGGUAAUGAAAGGUAAAGAGGUGUCGAUCUGAUGGCGUUAGUAAAUUGAAGAAGCAGUAAAUAAUUUGUAACCGGUGAAGAUUUAUACAUCGAGAGGAAGAGGAAGCAAAAGAAGACAAUAAAAAAGAGAUUAUAUCAGUGACAUGGCAAUUUAAUUGGCUCUGAAUAUUUAUGCUGAUGUGGCUUGUAUAAAAUUGUUUCAAUUUAGUUGCUUUUAUAUAGUGGGAUUAGGUUUCAAAAUAUGACUUAUAAUUAGUUGAUUUUCCUCUCAAUCAAAUGAAUGUAUUCUAACAAUAUAAUAAAUAGAAUAGCAUCCAAAAAUAUUACAAUUGCAUUUUGGUUUAAGAAUAUAUACUACUUGGUCCACCACUAGUCUUUAAUACAUUAAAACAUUAGUGCUUGAAGGAGAUAGUUAACAUCAAUACUGUAAAUCAAUAAUUGAAUUUUUUUUUUUGCUGACAAAAAAAAAACUCUAGUGCUAAGUCAAAUGAGAGGCUAUAUGUAACCAGUUUAGUUGUUUUUUUGUUUUGGCUUGACUUUACUUUUUUUUUUUCCUUUUUCUCUUUACAGUUUUUCGUAUAGUAUUUAUAUAUAACAUAGAAAUUAAAUUAUCAGUUUGAAACGAUUCCAACUUUGCCUUGAAUUCAUUCAUUAAAAAUGGCGCAUCUUUAAUUUGAAAAAACAAAUGUCCAGAAGUUUAUACUUUGUUGAUGUUGUUGUUAUUGCCAGGGAGAACUUCAUUAGAUACGUCUUUUAAGAAAACUCACUGUUAUAUGUUAAAAUAGGGAACUUGACCUAACCAUAGUUGUGUUUUGAAUUUUUUUUUUUCUUUUGCAGGGAUAAAACAGUUUUUUUCUCCUCACCCUAUAUAAUCUAAACAACAAACAACAAUAUACACCAUAAUGAAGAAUAGAAAAUAUCAAGUGUAAGAAAAUAUAAAGGAAGAGAUAUUACUUUAAAGAUUUAACCCAAAAGAACAGUGUAUUAUUCUUGUGUGCACUAAUUUUGGAUACAUCUCUCUCAAACUCUGACCUCCCCAAGCAAGAAUAUAUGUCUCCAUUUCUAGAUAUUUUCUUAUAUAAAUAAAAAACAGGUGGGCAUCUGUUGUUGUCGCCAAAACAUACCUUAUAGUGAUUUCCUUAUCGCUGAUAGCUGGCGACAAAGAAACAAGCAGGACAUAUCUCAGUAAUAUAUUAGAAGAACCGUGGAGAAAAACUUCGGAUGCAACUGGAAUGCUAUUUUGUGGAAUAAAACUCUUUGAAAUAGGUCAUUCCACAUGUUUCCAUAAAAUGUUUACCAGUUACCAUGAAGAUUUUUUAGAAACAAUUCCAUAUAUUCCAUUUUUGGAAUGGAACAAAAAAGUAAAUCCUUUGUAAAUGUUGUUCCUUUUAUUCAGGAUCAUAAUCCUUUGUGAAUGAGUGGAAAGCCAUUCCAAAAAUAUUUUCAGUUUUUAUUCCAUUUAAUCUAUCAUUCCAUUUUUUCUUAUUCCAAAAAUAAUCAUUCCUUUAAUUCAUAAUAUUCCUUCUAUGAAUAACCAGUUACACCCGAACCCAUUGGAAAGGCUCUUAUUAAGUGAUUUGAAUAAGAGAGGGUAUCUAUAGUAAAUAAGAAAUUUUAGCAAAAAAAAUUAGGAGAUUGGUUUGUGCAUCUGAGAGUUUGGCAUGCUCUAUAUUCACCCACCCUAGGAAUCUAUACUUGGCUCUUUCAUUCUUUUUUUUUUCAUUUUUACAUUCAAUUCAGUGUGAUAAUUAGGAAGUUCAGGCCAAUAGACUUUCAUCGCUCUAAAGUCUACGAUGCGCCGUUAUGUUAAUUGCAUUGGCAAGGGGGACUAAAUUCCGUAUUUUUUUUUCCAUCUAGUUUUGAUUUUAUUAAAGGCAAAAGCCCAAAGGAAGAGCCCAAUAUUACAAAGACAAAGAAGCCCAAACACAAAAGGGCCAAAGUAAAGAAACCAUGGGACUAACCCAACCCAUUAACCGAACGGCACCAUCCUUCACCACGCGUCCAGAAACGUGCAUGGACGCCACGUGUUGAGACCCACCCCUUCCAGAGAUACGCGUCACCCGGUCACUACACCGCGACCGAUACCGAGAAGACGUCGCCAGAGAAGACGAAACCACCAGUAGUUUCGCUGGAACACGCCGGAGACUGAAACUAUCUCACCCAUCUUUUUCGCCUGGACUCUUUCGACGGAGAGCAUCAUCGAGACUAUCCCGAGAUCUCCUCCAGAGCCAUCGAACCCAACUCCUCUUCCCUCACCACUCGAGACCCUUCGACAGCGAGCUUUCAUCAACCCGUAACCGAUCCAAAAAAACUUUUCAGACCAAACGAUUAGAUCAAAACCGCUACAAAGAUAGUCAAUCGGCAUCAAUCGAACACGAUAUGCGAGAUUCGAGAGUCAGUUGACCAGAUAAACACAAAUAGGCCUUGAUCGAACAGAACCGGGAAAGAAUCCGGAAUAAGCCGGAAAAAGCGAAGAUAUACGCUUCCCGGAAAACAAAAGCCGGCGAAGAAAAACUGAAGAAGCUUUCUCUACCCAGAAUCUAAGCCUGAUGAACGGGAAACUAGGCCGAAGAUGAUCCGGCGAGCCAAACCCAAGCUUUCUCUCUCCUUUGCGUAAGAUUUUUAGAGAGGGAAUAGAACUGAGAAAGAAAAUCGACUAAAUUCCGUAUUUAUUCGUUUAAGAUGAAUUUUUUUUUGGUAAUCAUUAAGAUGAUGUUUUUCAUAGAACCAAUCAAGAGAUAGAUCAUAACAUUGCUUGCAGAGACGGAUAUUAUCAAGACUUGUUUCAAAAAUCUUUGUUUCUUUCUUGCGUGUGGUUCGUCGACAAGCAAAGACUUCACAACUAUCUUUAAUCCAACACGUCUCGCCAAUGGAGAAGGAUCGAACUUGUCAGGACCAGGCGCCUUAACCGAUGAGUCGUACUGCCAUUUAUAGUAUUCAUUUGGUUUCUUGCCAGGCAAGAAAUCAUAUAACAUACAAUUACAUUAAAUUUAAACAAAAUCAUUCGUAAGCAUAUAGAUGGUCUUUGUUUUGUUCAUUGUAUGGGGGUCUAUAGGAGACGUGUGUAGAAUAUUCAACUUUGAUACAAAUGAAGUCGAUUAUGUACUUGGUCGUAGCUUCCGCAUUCGUACUAAUGUGUUGAAAAAGGCAAAUUUUGUUCAUGACUUUGUCUCUUGUGCGGAAAUGCGUUCUUGUCGGAAAAGGGAAUUUGUACGAUAAUAUGAAUUGAAUGUGUUCAUGAAAUUAAAAUAGAUCAAAUAUUUCUUUUAUAUUAUAAAAUAGAAGUUAAUUGAUAAUUUUGGGAAUGAUAUGCGUCCUUUAAAAAAAACUAAAACAAGUUUUAUAUAUAUAUUUUUGACAAAUGUUAUAAAAAUAAAAUGAUAACAACUGCUUUUAAUUCACACUAUCUCCGUAGCUACUUCAGUUUUCUACUAUCUUAACGAUUUUAUAAAACUUUAAGUAACCAUAACUCUUACUUUUCUCAGUCACUAACACUGGUCUCUGUUCUUCAUUUUUUUUUCCGACACUACUCUUUUCUACUAUUCAAAGAAACCACCAAAAAAUGUAUAUUUUUUUAACAUUUAGGUUAAUCGGAGCAUUCCGGUGUAAGUAUUGUUUACAACUCUCUUAUAUUGAAUUGUGGUUAUAUUGUUUAAAAUAUCGCCGACAGAACCAAUGAGGAUUAUGAUGAAUACCGUGGCCAUCAACCGUUACCGGAAUCCAGCCAUUAUUUUGAACCAUGUUUCUUACAGUAACUUUAUUUCUUGGAUCUUUAAUCCAUCUCUGGCAUAUUUUUUUGUGUAUGAAAACUCUUUGCGUACGUACUUUAUUCAGUUUUUAUUUUUAAUGGAAGGGGUCAAUGUUGACAGUAGGAGAAGGAAAUCAAAAUAGAAAUUUAUCAAACAGUGGAUGAAGAACCUAAUAAGUACAAUAAUCUACUAAUAAUAGCAAUCCCAAUUAAUGCCAAAGGUUGUGAAUCUCACUUAUGUUGAAAGGUUGUGUCUUUUGAAAAAGAUGUGUAAAGGGUUGUGUCUUUUCUAAAAGUCCUAUGUUGUAAGGUUGUGUCUUUUAUAAAUAAUUGUCUAAAAAUUGUGACUAUUCAUAAGUAUCUUUUAAAAAGUGAAAAGUUGUGACUAUUAGAUGAAUGUGACUAUUAGAUGAAUGUGACUAUUCAGAUUGAAGGGUUGUGACUAUUCAAAUAGAUUUUAAAAAUCUAUAAAUAGUCUUUGUCAUGCAUUUUUCAAAUUUAAAUUUUCACUAAUCUACUAAUAAUCUACUAAUAAUAAAAUGGUGGAAGAUAGAGUUUUCUCUGGAAGAUAUGGUUAUGUGCGUUCGCUUUAACUUUAUGAUCAGUAAGAUUCAUAACAGUGAAGGAGACAACUUCUUGAUCACGUCAUAUGUGAUACAUAGAAUAUUAGAUUUUUUGUGUAUAAAAAAUUUGACCCAAAAUUGUUUAAAUAGAAUUGAAAAGGUACGAAUGGUAAAGUGUGUGAAUAGGUAUAUAUAAAAAUAAUAUAAAGUUGCAACUGUAGGACUUUAUAACAUUUCGAAGUGAAAAUGUACGAUUAGUAAAAUAUGCAACUUUUUAAAAAUUAAGCAGGUAUUAGUGACAUUUUUUCGAAGGAUGUAACUUUUAGAGAUAUUUUUUCACAACUUUUAAGAAUGAAAAAAACACAACUUCACUUCAAUUGAAAGGUUAUAUGUUUUCAACAAUUAAAAGUUAUGGCUUUUUAUUUAAAAUAACUGUUUAUAUUGAAAAGUUGUGACUUUUCAUAUAUGUAUCAUUUCAAUACAUAUAUGUAUUAUUUCAAUAAAAACAAUUUUUAUAUUGAAAAGAUGUAACUUUUGAGACAAAUUUUUGAAAAUCUAUAAAUAGUUUGUAUAUUAUUUCUGAAUGGUUGUAUACGUGCGUGUUAUACAACAAUUUGGCUUGAAAUCCCAUUCUUUUAAACGAUUUCUUUUAUUAAAACUGAUUUAGACACAUGAAACCAUGACAUAACAAAAUAAUAUUUAGGGUUUAGAAACUUACUGCCCAAGACACACAUGAGGAACACUUAACCUUUACGACAUGGACCUGGAACGGUGUAUCUCUCGUACUACAGCGGUAUGAGCGACAACUCUGAUGGUUUACGGCUAGUGGUGGUGAAGAUCAUCAGUCCCGCUGGUGUCAAGAUACGGUGUCUCCGGCUCGUAUGUUUCCUUUCCCUCUCGGCUUACGUUCUCCACAUACAAACCAUAUAUGAAGCCUCAACGCCAUGGACGGGAUGGCACAGAACGAGGCAUGUGAUGGCAGGGGCUGAUACUCCCGUGGUGAUGACUCGUCGUGGUUAGUGAUAAACAGCGGCGGAUCCACACUUUCCCACGAGACACCAAGACAAAGUGGAGCAAGAUGGGUUGGGGAGGAGAGAAACGAUGGAAAGAGGGAGAUGCAUGUGGAGGUGGACCAGGUGGUGCUAUGGAGGUGAUGGCUCCUCACUCACACGCUUUCAACAUUGGCGGCUUGCCACAUGGAAGAAGUUCUCUCCAUUAUAUAAUUAGGUUUAUGUGUGUACAAACACACGACUUGAAAAAAAAACUAUAAGGCUUUGUUUGAUACUAAAUUAAAGCAAACAAAAAAAGAGCAAUUCUCGGUUUGGUUUAUAGAAAAAUAUUAAUGAAAAUAAAUUAAACCAAAUUUAUGAAGUGAAGAAAUGCAGUUUUCUUAAUGCUACAAAGCACCCAUUCAGAUCAUGAGUUAGCAAUCGUAUCUCUUCCGCAAACAAAUGCAACGUUUCAUUCAAUUGACAUCUUCAUCAAUUAUAUAUGUAACUGACUUCCAAAUAUUUUUAAACUCAUCUUUGGAACUUCUAGAAAACUGACUAAUUUUUCAGUAACUUUCAUUUCAGCAAAUGAUUACUUUAAUUUUAAAUUUUGUGAAAGAGUUUAUGAAUAUCACCACCACCAACAGUUUUCUUUUGCUUUUUUAUGUCUUUCAAUUUCUCAAUAUUUCCAUCAUACAAUUACUUAAUUUUUUUCAAGAAUCAGAUGUAUCAAGUAGAAAUAACUUAUUUAGUUGCAUUUCUAUCAUUUUCAAUAUUUUUUUAUUUGAUAGGACGAAGUCGCGAGGCGAUUAUUUGACAGAGAAUUAGACAUAAAUUAUCAAUUUUUUACAUUUACGUAUUACCUUUGAACAUAUCGAUCGCAUCGGGUAAUAUACAUAAGAAUUUUUUCUGUUGAUCGAUUUUUAAAGAUUUAAAAAAAACACAUAUAAACGUAGAAAGCUCUAUGUGUUAUUUUCUGUGCAUUAACCUAAAUCUUAAAAAUUUGAUUGAAAACUUAAUAGACUUCUGGAGUAUCUCUAUCUUAAUACCAUUUUGUCUUCCAAAAUACUAUUUACUACUCCAACAGAAGUCAUCAUAUCUUCAAAAGGUAAAUUCAUAAUUUAUCAAUUUAAUUAACUUUUCCAGAAAUUCAAGGUAAUAUUAUAAAUUUGAAAGGUUAUUUCAACAUAUAUUUAGUAAGAUAUCCAAUCUCUUUAAUAUUCUUUCAAAUAAAUAAAGCAAAUAAAUAAAUAUAUUAAAAUAAUAAUAUAUUAUUAUUUACCAACAUAGAAAUAGUAAUUGUUUUAAAAAUUAUGAACUAAUAAUUCUAAUAUUGUUUCUUAAAUAGGAAAGUUAUUUAAAUAUCAUGCAAAAAUAAUAAAAUCAUGUAAAAAGUGAUUGUGAUAUAUAUAUAUAUAUAAUUUAGAACAACAUUUCAUUGAUAAUUAUAAAGUAUAUUAUGUGAAAAUUGUAAGAAUAAACUUAAAAAAUGGAAAUGCAAUUGUUUGUAAUAUUUGUUCUGAUAAAAAUACAAU